rnacentral:lncRNA from 1 species
CGCCCACUAACCCCUAUACCCACACACAUACCCCCACCCCACACCCACAAAAACACCAACACAACCACCCAACACUACUACCACAAUCACCGACCUACCAUCACCACCACCGCCGCCAUCACCAACACUGCCACAAUUGCCGCCGCCACCACCACCAUCUUCGUUGCCCCCACCCCUACCCUACCACCGCUACCAUUUUUCUAAAAAUGAAAACAGAUAGAAAAAAACACGUCUAAACACAUUUUCUAAUUUUCUAAAACUGAAAAUGAAAAAUGAAUAAGUUUUAACCAAACACGCUUUCUAAAUUUUCCAAUAAAAACGGAAAACGAAAACUGACAAGGGAAAACGAAAAACGGAAAAUGAAAACUGUUUUUCCGUACUAAUGCAACCUUAGUAUUCUAAGAAUUAGAAAACCGGAUUUAAAUAAACAUAAAAUGUACCAUGAAAAAAACAUUAUUAUUAAUCUUUUACAUCUCAUUUAAUCAUUUUAUCCACAUGUUUUUUUUUUUGGGAAAAUUGCAAAAAUGUCUUUAUAUACCGUCUUAAUAAUCGAUUUAGUCACUAUAUAUAUAUUUUUUAUUCAAUUAAGUCUAAAAAACCGGUAACCGUAUUCAAUCUAACUUUUUUAACCGGUCAAUAGGUUAUUCAACUUUCCAAAAUUACACUUUUGGCAUAGAUUUCAAUGUUUAUUACAAAUUCGGUCCAACAUUUACACUAUUGGCCCAUAUUUUGAUUUUUAUUACAAAUUUGGUCUAAAGUUUACCUUUUUGGCCCAAAUUUCAAAAUUUUAUCAUGAAUUCAUCCUAACCUUAGUAUUUUCUUACAACCUUUUUUCUCAAAAAAAAAAAAUGUCGAAUAUGUUUUUUCUUUGUAAAAACAUAUUUACACAAAAAAAACAUAUUUUCACAUAAAAAAUCUAUAUUUUCUAUAUGAUUUUUUUUAAAAAAACUUAUUUGUAUACAAAAUACCUAUUUAUAAAAAUAGGUAUUUAUUAAGUACAUAAAUAUAUACAAAUCCAUUAUUAUUAAAAAAAUAUACAAACAUGUAUUUUACAAAAAAUCUAUACAAACAUCUAUUUUAUUAUAAAUAUAUUUUGUAAAAACAUAUUUAUACGCACCCAAAUAAGUGUUUGUAUACUUUUNNNNNNNNNNNUAAACACAUUUAUAUUUAAAACACGUUUAUAUAUAAAAUUUAUACAAACUUGUAUUUUUUAAAAAUAUAUUCAAACUCAUUUUAUAAACAAAUGUAUACAACAUGCUUAUAUAAAAAGUAUAUAUAUAAACAUGUUUUUGACAAAAAACAUUACUUGAGAAGUAAAUUAUCGACAAUUAAAAUAUCCUUCUAAAUGUAUACUCUAAAUAAUAGAUAUAUAAUCAAUACUAUAAAAUAAUAACUCAUUCAGAAUUCAUUUUGAAUUUUGAUCAUAGAUAAAAAAAUGUGCGUCUUCAAAUAAAAAACAAAAUUUAUUGUCAUACAUUUUUAAUUUUUUUUUUUUUUUACAAUUGACACAACGUUAUAUUUUCGUUUUAAACCCAAAAUAAUCUAUCAAAAUGGGUUAGUUUCCAAGUUAUAAGUUAGCAUCUUCCAAUGCAAAUUAGAUUUCACAGUUAGAGGUUUACUUUUUCAUUACCUUUGUGUCAAAGUUGGGUGUUCAAUUAUACUUGUUAUCGAAUAGAAAUAAUACCGAAAGAAACUAUUCACACCCAUCGUUUAACUUGGGUAAAAUGCUAGUGUGUGUGUGUGUGUGUAUGUAUAUAUAUAUAUAUAUAUAUAUAUAUAUAUAUAUAUAUAUAUAUAUAUAUAUAUAUAUAUAUAUAUAUAUAUAUAUAUAUAUAUAUAUAUAUAUAUAUAUAUAUAUAUAUAUAUAUAUGCACACAUACACACAUUCGAUUUUUUUUUGAGAAAAAAUGUUCUAAGAAAACUAAAGUUAUGAUCAAUUCAUAACAAAAUUCUGAAAUCUAGGCCAAAAGGGUUAAUUUUAGACCAAAUUUGUAAUAAAAUUUAAAAUCUAGGCAAAAAUUACAAAUUUGGACCAAAUUUGUAGUAAAAUUUGAAAUUUGGAUAAAAAGUGUAAUUAUUGAAUGUUGGAUAAACCUUUGACAUGGUAAAAAGGUUAAAUUAAAUACGAUUACCGAUUUUCAGGACUUAAUUGAAUAAAAAAAGACAUAAAGACUAAAUCGAUUAUGAGACCAAUAUGUAAGGAUUUUUUGUAGAGUUUUCAUUUUUUUUAGUUUCAUUAAAUUGUUCAUGAUUUAAGCUUAAUUAAUCAUAAUUAAUACAUUGAUGCUAGUGGUUAAUUUGUUCUUGAAGGCUUAAAUGCUGGCACCAUGUUGAAAGUAACAACAAUUUCUUAAAAGGGGAUAUGUUUUGUUAUUUGAAAUUGUAUGUAAAAUGGAAUAAUAUAAAACAGAAACCGGUAGACAGUUUCAUUCGUUCUUCAUGAUCAUCUGCCUUUAAAACUUUGUUAUUUACUACAUUUUCAACUAUAAUAUUAUAUAUUCAUUUUUUUUAAAGAAUCAUAUUUUAAAAAAUUGUACCCAUUUACAAUAACAGAUUUACCUAAAGUUUUGGACCAAUGUAGGCUAUUAUAGGCUGUGCUAAGCACAAUCAUUGGAGAACAAUAAUGUAACAACUGACAAUGUAACCCAUAGAAAUAAUAAUGUCACUAAGAAACAUUCAAAUGUAACUAACGAUAUAAGGUCACUAAUAAGAAUCGUAAUGCCAAUCACAAUGUUGAUGAGGUAACAAAUGAAAAUGACAAUCCAACUAAUGCGUAUAAUCUAAAUUUUGGUAGUUUGUUAGAACUUUGGUAAUUUAAAGGGGGCCGUUUUCUUGUUUUUGCCNAUAUAUAUAUAUACUUACUGUAUUAAUUUAGUAAUCAACCGUAAUGGCAGCCUCAAUCUCAUCAACUGUAAUGGCAACUUCAAUCACUAUCUAUCUGUAUAAUUGUUUCUAUUGAUGUAUUACCAUUGUCUGCUAUUUGUUUACAAAUUUCUUUAAUUGAUUAUGUAAUUAUGUUGUUCAACGAAAAAAAAUAUAAACAAAUAUCUCAAUUAGAUAGAUUGUAGAGCACAUGGUACUACCUUUGCAACUCCAAUGCUGAAUUUGUUCUCCAAAUGUUUCAACUGCGUACCAAUAAUAUAAAAUAGUAUAAAAUAGAUUGAUAUUUAUUAUUACAAGGAAAUAUGUACCAAAUCAUAGUAAUAUCAUCCAGAUAAAAAAACAGAUUUACACUUACUAUGGUUGGAUAGACUUUUCAAAGUAUAUUAUCCUAAUAAAAAAAUAUAAUUUGAAAAUAUAAUCUACAGAAUUCAUUGAUUAGAAAAAAAUGUAAUCCGCAAAGUAAUGUAAUAGAAAGAAUUAUCUGGUCGGAUGUCGUUCCUUGAGUUCCUAAUCAACCAAGUUAAUAGAACACUUACAGAUUCCAGUGAGACCUUUUGUUCAACAACAAUUAUUUGGUCGGAUGUCGUUGGUCAAAUUCCCUUAAAUUAAUUUAGAGCAUAAAACAUUAGUUGAAGAAGAAUCGUUUGUAAUUUAGACAAUUUUUACAAUGAUAACAUGUGAAAAUCACCUUAAAAUGCUCUCGGUCGUUUUUGGUUUUCAAAUUAGAAACAUAGUUCAAUUUAGCAUGUCAUAAAUUGAAAUCAUUAUGAGAAAGCAAGAGCAAAAUUAAGAUAACUUCAACUUACUUGUCGCAUUGUUUCAGUAAUUCUAGAUAUUUAUGGUAUAACAAGCUCUGCAGAAUGAUUUCAACUUGAAAUAUAAAAUUUUGAAAAUUUUAAAACUUAAGAAAAAGACUAAAACUUUCAUGAUAAAUCUUUAAAUACUUAAUGUGUAUUUGUUACAAAGAACAUGAUUCGAUAGAGGACUACUCUCUAAAGCUAUUUACAAAAACAAGGAUGAGGAGAGCAUUUCUGUCCUUUGCAAACAUGACAUGAAGAACAAAUUUUGUCCCCACCUUUUUGUGUGGCAUAAACAUUUGUAAUUUUUUGUUCAAUUGGCAUCAGUCUAAUAGAUACGAGGCCUUCUGUUAUUUCUUACAUGUCCUACAUAACAAAUCACAAAUCUGACCCAAAAGAACUAAACAUGUAUGUCAUACCCGCAUCUCAUAAACUUUUGUUUGAUAUAUAGUUGGUUGGAUUUCUCUCGUUUGACCCAAUAUUGAGAGCUCAACUAUCCUUUUAGAAAUAUUGGUGGUCGAUUUUGAAAUUAUCUUGUUGUACUGUGCAAAAUAUAAGUUAUUAAUCAGAUUGGAGACAAUUGAGUUUAGAAUUAUAAAACACAUGGGAGUAUGGGCCUACUCUCUCAAUUGUAAGUUCGGAUCCCAUCUAUUCCUCAAACUGCACAUCAAUAUAAAAUUUCAAUCAUCAUAACCAUAAUCAAUGACACUAUUAAUUAUGAUACCAUCUUGUUGCCAUGGUUUAUUAAUGUUAUAUUCAUGUUAAUAUAAACUUGUAUAAUCUUGAUUGAUAUUAAUAUAAUGGUUAAAUGCAUGAAAUAUCAACACUAUUUUGUUAUUUUUUUGUUAUAGAAUUAUGUUUUUGUAUCUGCCUAUCAAAACAUUGUACAUUGAAAUAUGUAUCUAAUUAUAGCAAUAUCAUCCACGGAAAAAAUUAAUUUCCAUCGUUAUAACUAAAUGGACUUUUAAAGUAUUGUGUUCUUGUAAAAAACAAAUGAAAGUAUUAUGCUAUAGUUAUGUAGAAUACUUACAGGUUCCGCCGAGCUUUUAUUUUUAAUAGCAAGUAUCAUGUUUGCUCGCUGAUAUGUAACUCUCUGAAAUAAAUUAUAAUAUAAAGUAUUAGUUGAAGGAGAAUCGUAUGUCUUUGGAUAAUUCUUAGAACUUAAUUUUUACAUGUUAUUAUUGUAAAAAUUAUCCAAUGACAUUCGAUUCUACUUUAACUAAUAUUUUAUGUUGUAUUUUAUUUCAGAGAGUUGCAUCUCGGCGAGUCAACAUGAUACUUGCUAUUAAAAAUAGAAGUUCAGUUGAAUCUGUAAGUAUUGUACCUAACUAUAGCAUAAUACUUUUAUUUGUUUCUUAUUAGAACACUAUACUUUAAAAGUCUAUUUAGUUAUAGCGAUGAAAAUUAAUUUUUCGUGGAUGAUAGUUAUGAUUAGGUACAUAUUUCAAUGUAUAAUGUUUUGAUUGACAAAUAUAAAAACAUAAUGCUAUAACAAAAUGGUGCUGCUAUUUCAUGCAUUUAACCCUUGUAUUAAUAUCAUUCAAGAUUAUACAAGUUUAUAUUAAUAUGAAUAUAACAUUAAUAAACCAUGACAACAAUAUGGUAUCAUGGUUAAUGGUGUCAUUGAAUAUGGUUAUAAUGAUUGGAACAUUAUAUUGAUGUGCAGUUUGAGGAUUUUGUGGGAUCCGAACUUACAAUUGAGAUUGUAGGCCCAUACUCCCAUGUGUUUUAUAAUUCUAAACUUAAUUGUCUCCAAUCUGAAUAAUAGUUCUUUAUAUUUUGUGCAGUACAACGAGAUAAUUUCAAAAUCGACCACCAAUAUUUCUAAAAGGAUUGUUGGGCUCUUAAUUUUGGGUUAAACGAGAGAAAUCCAACCGACUAUAUAUCAAACAAAAGUUUAUGAGAUGCGGGUAUGACAUACAUGUUUAGUUAUUUUGGGUAGAUUUGUGAUUUGUCUUUUAGGACAUGUUAGAACAUAACAGAAGGCCUCAUAUCUACUGGACUUAUGUGAAUUGGACAAAAAAUUGCAAAUGUUUAUGCCACCCAAAAAGGUAGGGACAAAACUUGAUCUUCACCUCAUAUUUGCAAAUGACAAAAAUACCCUCAUAAUCAUUGUUUUUGAAAAUAGUCUUAGAUUGUAGUAAUCUAAUUAAUCAUGUUCUUUAUAACAAAUGCAACUUUAGUAUUGAAAGAUUUAUCAUGAAAGCAUAUUUUAAGAUGGAAUUAUUCUGCAGAGCUUGUUAUACCAUAAAUAUCUGGAAUUACUGAAAACAGGCGACAAGUAAGUUGAAGUUAUCUUAAUUUUGCUCUUGUUUUCUCAUAAUGAUUUCACUUUAUAACAUGCUAAAUUGAACUAUAUUUUAAUUUCAAAACCAGUACCUGGAGCAUGUUAAGGUAAUUUUCAAAUGUUAUCGGUAUAAAAAUUGUCUAAAUUAGACCAACGACAUCCGACCAAAUACUUGCUAUGAAAUAUAGGAUCUCAUUGAAAUAUGUAAAUGCCACCUUAACUUGGUUGAUUAGGAACUCAAGGAACAACUUAUUUUCAACUGUUUUUGUAUUACAACAUUCUACUUCCGUUUCUUUCUAUUAUAUUGUUACGACUUAAAUUUUUUCUUAUUAGGACAAUAUAUUUUGAAAAAUCUAUCGAAUUAUAUCAAGUUGAAAUCUGUUUUUUUUUAUCCGGAUGAUAUUACUAUGAUUCAGUACAUAUUUCACAGUAUGGGUUUGCACGAAUUUAACUUUUGUAAUAAUAUAUCAAUCAAUUUUAUACUAUUUUAUUACUGGUGCUCAGUUGAAGGAUUUUGAGAAGAAAUCAAGUAUUGGAGUUGCAAAGGUAGUACCAUGCGCUCUACGAUUUUAAACUUGAUCAUUUUUAAUCUAAUUGAGAGAUUUGUUUAUAUUUUUUCAGUUGAACAUGAUCAUUUCACAAUCAAUUGAAGAAAUUUGUAAACAGAUAGCGGGCAAGGGUAAUACAUCAAUAGAAAUGACUCAGGGUCAUACAUCAAUGGAAACAAUUGUACCAAUACAUAGUAAUUAAAGUUGCCGUUACAGUUGAGGAAAGUGUAAAGGCAAAGCUGAGGCUCAACAGCUUGAGGAACCAUAGAGCCUGCAGGUAGAAGAAAUGUGAAUGGAAGAAAAUCUGUCAUGCUACCUAAAGUAACUGAAGUGGUUCUUCCUCUUGAAGAACCUGUGAACAUUCAUAAAAGGUUCAUAAAAGGACACAAGGCAAAAAUCUGUCGUGCAAAAAGCUAGGGGAAAGAAAGCAAGAAACCUUCUGUUGAAAAGAAAGAAAUAGUAAAAGAAACUAAGAUCCCUGGAUCUCCUACUUGUAAGACUGUUGCGAAAAAGCAAACAAAAGUUGCUUCUAAAAAUGAAACCAAUUAAUGCGUAUGAUCUAAAUUUUGGUAGUUUAUUAGAACUUUGGUAGUCUAAAUGGGGAGAGUUUUCUUGUUUUUGCCACGGGUCUAGAGUAUUUUUGAAUCGGCCCUAAUUAUAAGUAAAGAUUUAAUGAUGGUCCUAUAUAUACUGCAUUAAUUCACUAAUUAACCGUAAUGGCAACCUUAAUCUCUUCAACUGUAAUGACAACUUUUAUCACUAUCUAUAUGUACAAUUGUUUCCAUUGAUGUAUGACCGUCCGUCACUUCUAUUGAUGUAUUACCCCUGUUUGCUAUCUGUUUACAAAUUUCUUCAAUUGAUUAUGAAAUUAUCAUGUUCAACUGAAAAAUAUAAACAAAUCUCUCGAUUAGAUUAAAAAUGAUGAAAUUUAAAAUUGUAGAGCACAUGGUACUACCUUUGCAACUCCAAUGUUGAAUUUCUUCUCCAAAUCUUUCAACUGCGCACCAGUAAUAUAAAAUAAUAUAAAAUUGAUUGAUAUUUAAUAUAUUAUUACAAGGGUUAAAUGCAUGAAAACCCAUGCUGUGAAAUAUAUACCGAAUCAUAGUAAUAUCAUCCAGAUAAAAAACAUAUUUACACUAACUAUAAUUGGAUAGACUUUUCAAAGUAUAGUAUCUUAAUAAGGAAAAAAAUAAUUUGAAAAUAUAAUGCUACAUAAUUCCUUUAUUAGAAAAAAUGUAAGUCACAAUAAUGUAAUAGAAAGAAACAGAAGUAGGAUGCUGUAAUACAAAAACAGUUGCAAAUAAGUUGUUCAUUGAGUUCCUAAUCAACCAAGUUAAGGCAUCACUUACAGAUUUUAGUGAGUUUCUAUAUUUAACAGCAUGUAUCUGGUCGGAUGUCGUUGGUCCAAUUCCCUUAAAUUAAUUUAGAGCAUAAAACAUUAGUUGAAGGAUAAUCGUUUGCCAUUUAGAUAAUUUUUACAAUGAUAACAUGUGAAAAUUACCUUAACAUGCUCCAGGUCUUUUUUGGUUUUGAAAUUAGAAACAUAGCUCAAUUUAGCAUGUCAUAAAUUGAAAUCAUUAUGAGAAAACAAGAGUAAAAUUAAGAUAACUUGAACUUACUUGUCGCAUGCUUUCAGUAAUUUCAGAUAUUUUCGACAUCUGGGCAGUUAAUAGCGCCGAGAUCGCGGUGUGAUAACGUUUCUCGGGUGUUUGCAAAAUCCCUGUUUCAAAUAGCGUUCUGAAAUAUCGGAGCCGAAAUUAUCACCUAUAUCGGCCGUUAUUUCACCGAUAUUUCAAUACCUGUAUCCCGAUUUUUUCCCGCUGUUUGAUUUUUUUGGUCUGUUUAUACAUAUUUAUAAAAAAAGUACUUUGAUAUAGAUUAGCCGACAACUUGUAAUGUUAUAAUGCCAAUCACCUUUCGUCAGAACUCGGAAGAAACCGGAUGGAAAGAAGUUGAAACAAAUAAAGAUAUAAAGACUCGGUUAAUUUGUAAUUAAACCUCGGUUAAUGUAUCUAAUUUGUAAUUGUAAUCAAACCUCUGUUAUGCAUUUAAUUUGUAAAUCUUUUUGUGUACCGGGUUAUAGUUUUAACUUGUAAACAGGUUAGUUUUUGUGAUAUAUAUAUAUAUNNNNNNNNNNNNNNNNNNNNNNNNNNNNNNNNNNNNNNNNNNNNNNNNNNNNNNNNNNNNNNNNNNNNNNNNNNNNNNNNNNNNNNNNNNNNNNNNNNNNNNNNNNNNNNNNNNNNNNNNNNNNNNNNNNNNNNNNNNNNNNNNNNNNNNNNNNNNNNNNNNNNNNNNNNNNNNNNNNNNNNNNNNNNNNNNNNNNNNNNNNNNNNNNNNNNNNNNNNNNNNNNNNNNNNNNNNNNNNNNNNNNNNNNNNNNNNNNNNNNNNNNNNNNNNNNNNNNNNNNNAUAUAUAAAACCGCAAUCCCACCACAAGAACUGUUAUUUUAAAUAACUGCAAGUGACCGCAAUAAGAUUUUAGACUGCGAUAACUGCAUAGUCCGACAUAACAAGCUCUGCAGAAAGAUUCUAACUUCAAACAUAAAUUUUUGAAAUUUUAAAAACUUAAGAAAAAGACUAAAGCUUUCAUGAUAGAUUUUUCAAUUCUAAAGUUGUAUUUGUUACAAAGAACAUGAUUAGAUAGAGGACUACCCUCUAAGGCUAUUUUCAAAAACAUCAGUCCAACAGAUACGAGACCUUCUGUUAUUUUUAACAAUGUCCUACAUAACAAAUCACAAAUCUGACCCAAAAGAACUAAACAUGUAUGUCAUACCCGCAUCUCAUAAACUUUUGUUUGAUAUAUAGUUUGUUGGAUUUCUCUCGUUUGACCCAAAAUUGAGAGCUCAACUAUCCUUUUAAAAAUAUUGGUGGUCAAUUUUAAAAUUAUCUCGUUGUACUGUGCAAAAUAUAAAGAACUAUUAAUCAGAUUUGAGACAAUUGAGUUUAGAAUUAUAAAACACAUGGGAGUAUGGGCCUACUCUCUCAAUUGUAAGUUCGGAUCCCAUCAAUACCUCAAACUGCACAUCAAUAUAAAAUUUCAAUCAUCAUCCACGGAAAAAAUUAAUUUCCAUCGUUAUAACUAAAUGUACUUUUAAAGUAUUGUGUUCUUGUAAAAAACAAAUGAAAGUAUUAUGCUAUAGUUAUGUAGAAUACUUACAGGUUCCGCUGAGCUUUUAUUUUUAAUAACAAGUAUCAUGUUUGCUCGCCGAUAUGUAACUCUCUGAAAUAAAUUAUAAUAUAAAGUAUUAGUUGAAGGAGAAUUGUAUGUCUUUGGAUAAUUCUUACGAUAAUAACAUCUGAAAAUAACUUUAAUUGCUUCAUGGUAUUCCUGCUUUUGAAAUUAGAAACAUACUACAGUUUAACAUGUCAUACAUUGAAACCAUUAUAAAAAAUCAAUAGCAAAAUGAAGACAACUUCAACUUGUUCCCGGUUUUCAGUAAAUCCAGGUAUAUUUUGCAUAGUGAGUUCUGCAAAAGGAUUUCAUUUUAAGUAACUUGAAAUAUGAAAUUUUAAGAAAAAUAUGUAAACUUGUCAUGAUAAAUAAAUAUCAAGGUUUCAUUUGGUACAAGGAACAUGAUUGGACCAUGAACUACAUCGGAAAGGACCGGACAAGAUCUCUAGGGACUACAUCCGCAAAUUGUUUUUUUUAUGACUGUGGGAAAGAGUAAUGAAUGAUGAUACAAAAUUGUGCAACACAUUCCAUUCUUUAUUGUAUUUUUUUCAAAAUUGGCGAGGGCUUGCUACUUCCUUGUCCCAUGUCAUCUUCAUCGUAGUCAUCAAGUUCCACUACCUUAGAAGGUUCGGGUGUACCAUAUCUCCUACCCGGAUCCAUUGCAUCAUCAAUGCCUGCAAUAGCUUUGUUGAUGACUACAAUGAAGAUAACAUGGGACAAGGAAGUAGCAAGCCCUCGCCAAUUUUGAAAAAAUACAAGAAAAAAUGGAAUCUGUUGCACAAUUUUGCAACAUCAUUCAUUACUCUUUCUCAAAUUCAUAAAAAAAACAAUUUGGGGAUGAUGGUACGUCUACGGAAUGGAACAAUACCAAGUAGUCAAAGGAUGUUGCAGGGAAGAGGCUAACAUCAACUUUUUUGCAAGAAAGGUUUUGGAGAAAUAUAGUGUAUACUUUAAAGUUGACUUGGGUGUGCAGAACUCGCUAACAUUACACAAUAUUUAUCCCUCCCAAAAAGUGGGACAAAACUCGCUCUUGAUCUUGGGUGUGCAAAGGACAUAAAUGUCCUCUUCGUCCUCAUUUUUUUUUAAAUAUCCCUAGAGAUCUUGCCCGAUUCUUUCCGAUAUGGUCCAUUGUCCAAUCAUGUUCCUUGUAACAAACGAAACCUUGACAUGUAUUUAUCAUGACAGUUUUUGUCUUUUUCUCAAGAUUUCAUAUUUCAAGUUAAAUAAAAUAUAAUCCUUUUGCAAAACUUGCUACACAAUUUAUACUUGGACUUACUGAAAACCGGGAACAAGUGGAAGUUGUCUUAAUUUUGCUAUUGAUUUUUUAUAAUGGUUUCAAUGUAUGACAUGCUAAGCUGUAAUAUGUUUCUAAUUUCAAAACCAGGAAUAACCUGAAGCAAUUGAAGAUAAUUCACAUGUUAUUAUUGUAAGAAUUAUCCAAAGAAAUAUGAUUCUCCAUUAACUAAUACUUUAUGUUGUAAUUUAUUUCAGAAAGUUGCAUCUCGGCGAACCAACAAGAUAUUUGCUAUUAAAAAUAGAAGUUUAGCGGAAUCUGUAAGUAUUGUAGCUAACUAUAGCAUAAUACUUUCAUUUGUUUUUUUUAGAACAGUAUUCUUUAAAAGUCCAUUUAAUUAUAGCGAUGGAAAUUAAUUUUUUCUGUUGAUGAUAUUGCUAUAAUUAGGUACAUAUUUCAAUGUACAAUGUUUUGAUAGACAGAUACAAAAACAUAAUGUUAUAACAAAAAAAUUAACAAAAGGGUGCUGUUAUUUUAUGCCUUUAACCCUUAUAUUAAUAUAAGUCAAAAUUAUACUUGUUUAUAUUAACAAAAAUAUAACAUUAAUAAACCAUGGCAACAAGAUGAUAUCGUGGUUAAUGAUGUCAAUGAUUAUUGUUAUAAUGACUGAAAUUUUAUAUUGAUGUGCAGUUUGAGGAUUUGGUGGGAUCCGAACUUACAAUUGAGAGAGUAGGCUCAUACUCCCAUGUGUUUUAUAAUUCUAAACUCAAUUGUCUCCAAUCUGAUUAAUACUUCUUUAUAUUUUGUGCAAUACACCGAGAUAAUUUCAAAAUCGACUACCAAUAUUUUCAAAAGGAUAGUUGAGUUCUCAAUUAAGUUUUUGAGAUACCAGUAUGACAUACAUGUUUAGUUCUUUUGGGUAGAUUUGUGAUUUGUUAUAUAGGACAUAAUAGAAGGCCUCGUAUCUAUUGGACUGAUGUCAACUGGACAAAAAAUUGCAAAUGUUUAUGCUACCCAAAAAGGUGGGGACAAAACUUGAUCUUCAUCUCAUAUUUGCAACGAUAGAAAUGCCCUCCUCAUCUUUGUUUUUGAAAAAUAGCCUUAGACAGUAGUCCUUUAUUUAAUCAUGUUCUUUGUAACAAAUGCAACUUUAGUAUUGAAAGAUUUAUCAUGAAAGUUUUAGUCUUUUGCUUAAGCUUUCAAAAAUUCAUAUUUUAAAUUGGAAUCAUUUUGUAGAGCUUGUUAUACCGGAAAUAACUGGAAUUACUGAAAACAGGCGAUUAGUAAGUUGAAGUUAUCUUAAUUUUGCUAUUCCUUUCUCAUAAUGAUUUCAAUUUAUAACAUGUUGUAUUGAACCAUGAUUCUAAUUUCAAAACCAGGCAUGACCUGGAGCAGUUUAAGGUAAUUUUCAAAUGUUAUCAUUGUAAAAAUUGUCUAAAUUGCAAACGAUUAUCCUUCAACUAAUGUUUUAUGCUCUAAAUUAAUUUAAGGGAAUUGGACCAACGACAUCCGACCAGAUAAAUGCUGUUGAACAUAGAAACUCAUUGAAAUCUGUAAGUGGUGUCUUAACUUGGUUUAUUAGGAACUCAAGGAACAACUUAUUUUCAACUGUUUUUGUAUUACAGCAUCCUACUUCCGUUUCUAUUACAUUACUGUGAAUUACAUUUUUUCUAAUCAAGGAAUUCUGUAGAAUUAUAUUUUCAAAUUUUUUUUCUUAUUAGGACAAUAUACUUUGAAAAGUCUAUCUAAUUAUAUCAAGUGUAAAUCUGUUUUUUAUCUGGAUUGUCAUUUUUAUUUGUUACUUUAUCAACAUUGUGAUUGAUAUUACGAUUUGUAUUAGUGACCACAUCCUCGUUUGUUACAUUUGCAUGUCCCUUAGUGACAUUAUCAUUCCCAUGAGUUACAUUGUCACUUGUUAAAUUAUUGUUCUCCAAUGGUUGUGCUUAGCAUAGCCCACGAUAGCCCAGAUUGGUCCAAAACUAUAGGUGAAGUUGUUAUUAUAAAUGGAUAUAAUUUUUUCAAGUAUGAUUCUUUAACAAGAAAAGAAAAUGAAUAUACAAUAUUAUAGUUGAAAAAAUGUAGUAAAUAAUAAAGUUUCAAAGACAGAUAAUCAUGAACAACGAAUGAAACUAUCUAUCGGUUUCUGUUUUAUAUCAAUCCAUUUUACAUACUAUUUCAGAUAAUCAAACAUAUCUCCUUGCAAGAAAUUGUUGUUACUUUCAAUAUAGUGCCAGCAUUUAAGCGUUCAAGAAUAAAUUGAGAACUAGCAACAGUGUAUGAAUUAUGAUUAAUUAAGCUUAAAUAAUGAACAAUUUAAUUAAACUAAAAAAAACCAUGUAGAUAGAAUGAUUUAAAAGCAUUCAGUGAUGUAAGAAUUUGCUUGCUAAUUAUAAACCUCAAUGAGAAAUUGGGGCGUGGGAGAUCAAAGAAAAUAAGUGAAGAGAAAAUUGCUGAAGUUCCUGAAACUCAAGAUAAUGCUAACAAGGGUACAAGGCAAUCAAAGAGAAACAAGACACCAGUUGAAGCGUCUACAGUUGUGAAUCAAAAAGUAAGCAAAGUGGAAUCUGUUAAUGAAAAGAAAGUUACAAGGUCCAAGACUCCUAUUGCAAAGAAAUCUUCUGGAGGAAAGGGUAAAAGCAAAGCUCAGGCUCAACAGCUUGAGGAACCAUCUGAGCCUGCAGGUAGAAAAAAUGUAAAUGGAAGAAAAUCCGUCAUGCAGUCUAAAGUAACCGAAGUGGUUCUUCCGUUUGAAGAACCUAUGAACAUUCCUAAAAGGACACAAGGCGAAAAUCUGUCGUGCAAAAAGCUCAGGGGAAAGAAAGCAAGAAACCUUCUGUUGAAAAGAAAGAAAUAGUAAAAUAAACUGAGAUGCCUAGAUCUCCUACUUGUAAGACUGUUGCGAAAAAGCAAACAAAAGAUGCUUCUGAAAAAGAAAUCAAAGCAGUUGCCUGGAUCUCCCUUUGACUCGUUCUUUCUUUUGAUAUCAUUAGAGAUGUUUCCUCUUAGAAAACGUUAUUUGCAUCACCAGCCAAAACUAGAAUAAGUCGUGUGAAUGACCCUCGGGAAAAUUCUGUCAGUGUUGCCUUGCCUGAUAAAGGUAGUGGGAGUUCUUCAUUAAUUGAUUGAAUAAUUUGAAUUUAACAGACUGUUGGCUUGUUUUUUUAUUAUGAUAUCAUUCUAUAGAUGACACAGAGCACAAAAUCCAGAUUCAACUCUGAGAGCUUUAUUUAAAACACUAGUCACAACUCACAACUCAAAUCAGUAAUGUACAAGGAGGGAUGAGCACUUUACCUAUUUGAUCAAAUAAUUAGAGUUUUAAAAACCCUUUGGCUCAUUCUUUCUUUUGAUAUUAUUUGUAGAUUAUUCUUCUCUGAAAAUGUUAUUUGCAACACCUGCCACUACUCAAAUCAGUCGUGUGAAUGACCCCCAGGAAAAUUCUGUUAGUCUUGCCCUGCCUGAUGAAGGUAGUGGGAGUUCUUCAUUUUUUUGAUUGAAUAAUUUGAAUUCUACAGAAUGUUGACUCGUUUUUUUUUUCUUUUUAUUAUGAUAUGAUUUUAUAGAUGAGAAUGCAACACCAAAUGCAACAUUUUCGCUGAAUGCGUUAUUUACAACACCUGCCACAACCCGAGUCAGAUAUGUAGAAGAUCAUCAGGAAGAAGGUAAUGCAAGUUCUUCACCUCUUUGAUCAGAUAACUUGAAUAUUUAUGAUUCUGACUUAAUUCUUUUUUAUGUUGCUGUUUUAUAGAUCACACAGAAAGUAAUGCAACACAAAAUUCAGACCUGUCUCUGAAAGCCUUUUUUGCAACACCUGUCAUAACUCGAGUCAAUCAUGUUGAAGACAAUCAACAGAGUAUAGAUGACACCAUUACAACACAAGGUCCAAUUUCAUCUAUCAAAGUGUCAAUGAAUACACCUGCUACAACUCAAAUCAGUCAUGGCAAACAUCUUUAGGAGAAUACAAUCAAAUUUGCCUUUCCUGACGAUCUUCAGGAGAAAACAGUCGAAUAUGCCCUUCCCAUUGAAGGUAGUCAAAGUUAAAUUCCUACUUUGUUUGAUUUUAGAAUUUUUUUGACUCAUUCUUUCUUUUUAUAUAUAGAUGACACGGAAGGCAAUGCACCACAAAAUCCAGAUUUGUCUGUGAAAACAUUUGCAACACCAGCCACAACUUGGGCCAGUCAUGUAGAAAACUAUUAGCAGAAUACAGUAAAAUUUACCCUUCCUUCUGAAGGUAGUGCAUUUUGUUCACCUGCUGAUUGAGUAAAUUGCAUUAAAGAGACUUUUGGCUUCUUUUUUUUUUUCUUUUGAUCCUGUUCUGUAGAUGACACAAAAGGCAAUGCAACACUAAGUCAAGAAUCAUCUCUGAAAUUGUCAUCUGCAACACCUGCAACAACACAAAAUCAAGAUUUGUCUAUGAGAACGUUGUUUGCAACACAAUCCAUAACUCGAGUCAGCCAUGUAAAAGAACAUGAGCAGAGUACAGUCAGAUUUGAUCUUCCCAUAGAAGGUAGUGCAAGUUCCUCACCUAUUAGUUCGAUUUUAAAAGACUUCGGGUUCCUAAUUUCAUAUGUUAUCAUUUUGUAGAUGACAUGGAACACAAUGCAACUGAAUAUAUAUAUAUANNNNNNNNNNNNNNNNNNNNNNNNNNNNNNNNNNNNNNNNNNNNNNNNNNNNNNNNNNNNNNNNNNNNNNNNNUAUAUAUAUAUGGAUCAAAAUGACAAUGAAGAUUAAAACAUGAACCAAAUAAGUACAAAAAAUUAAGAAGGUUAGAUUUUUGCUGGAUUUUGGUGGGACUUACAUCGGUAUCUGGAUGAGACUGAUGGCUUGAGUUUAUGAAAAAGGACAUGCAAAUCAACUUUAUUUUAUUAUAUGAUCGGGCAAUAAACCUAACAAUGACGAUAAUAUUAUUGUUUAUUAUCAUGAUUUCACAUAUAAAAUUUAUGCUUAUUCUAAAUUAGAACAAUAAAUUUUCAUGUGAGGAGAUAGACGGUCAGAAGUAUGCAACAUAAGCAACAAAUGGAGUGGAAGUCAAAGGAUAAACAAAUUGGGGUGGCCCACUUGGCUAACAUGAAUGAUUCUAAUCUAACAACUAACUAGGUAAGCCCAGACAUAAGAUAUUUAAUUAUUUGUCGUUUAAAAAAAAGGAUAAACAGCUGAAUUAAUGUAUGAAAACCUCUCCAUAGGCAUCAAAUUUACACUAUAAUCGUAUCAUGUUGAACAAUAUCUAAUCAACAUGAUCUCAUUCAAACCAAAUCACACAAAAGAAAGUCAUAAUAUAGUUUUGUAACAAACUCGCAUGAUCUCAAUUAAAACUUGAACCAAAUAUGUAGAAAAAAAAUUGGGAUGAAUGGAUUUUUGUUGGAUUUGGGGAGACUUUUAUUAGUAUCCGGGCGGAAUAGAAUCAUAGAUGACUAACUAGAGUUUAAAAAAAAGAUAUAAACAAAUCAACUUUAUUUUAAUAUAUGAUCGGGCAAUAAACCUAACCACAACAUUAAUAAAACAACUAAUUUAAAGAAAAUAUUUUUCCUAGCAUUUUUAAAUAAGUUGAUUUUUUUUCUCUCUAUAUGUACGAUAUAUUCUAGGAAUUUUGGGCCACCUUAGAGACAUGGGUCCUGGGCGACCUCCCGGGUUGCCCACUGUUUGGACUGGGCCUGAUUUCAUAUAUAAAAUGUAACGACCCAAAAAUUAAGGGUAAAAUUUUCAUUUUUCAUAUAGCUAAAACAUUGAUAUCAUUUAUUUCAAACACUUCAAAUCAUCAUUAAGUAAAAUAUUUAUCAGAGUUUAUCCCAAAAUCAUUCAUUGCGGAAAUCAUAGGUGUGUGCGCUGCGAUCAAUCCGAACCCUUCUUUUCCAAAUCGAUGAUACCUGAAACCAUAAACAAAACUGUAAACACGAAGCUUAAUGAGUUCCCCAGAGCAUACCCCACACAAUCCACAUAACUACAUAAUCCAUAUCGGCUAUAAAAGCUACAUAAACCAUAACAAUCGCAUAAGCAUGCUUAUACACAUAUAAAGAUACCAUGGAAACCCCCAAGGUCUUAUUCACAUACUCACAUAAAUCAUAUCAACUACACAAGCCAUCCAUAUAAACAUAUAAGGAAGCCAUGGAAACCCUCCAAGGUCUUACACCGGGUGCCACUGGAACCCCCACGUGGUCUUAGCCCACUGCCAUAGGAACCCCCAAAUGGUCUUAACCAUGAAAGCCAUGGGAACCCCCACAUGGUCUUAUAUCCAACUGCCUCGGGAACCCCGGGGUCUUCCAUACCAAUAUCAUAUCAACAUAACACAUAAUCAAUUAACACAUAUACAAACCCUAUAAGCCAUAUAUACAACAUAUAAAGGUGUCAUGGAAACCCUCCAUGGUCUUACACCGGGUGCCAUGGGCACCCCUACAUGGUCUUAGCCUGGAAUGCCAUGGGAACCCACACAUGGUCUUCCAUGCAAGCAACACAGAGUGAACUAGCACAUCGCAUAUCACAAAAUAUCUAUCAUACCACAUAUCACAUAAUAGCUAGCAUACCACAUAACACAUAUAACUAAUUGCCAUGGGAACCCCCACAUGGUCUUAGUCUACUGCCUUGGAAAACCCCCCGAGGUCUUCCACAUAAUCAACUAGCAUAUCGCAUAUCAUAAAAUGGGCCGGCCUUGGUGCCUUAAACCCAUUAGUAUGGUGAGGAGACUCACCUCGCACUGCUGAAGUCCCGCAGACAAAACUCUAGCUGCUGGAUGACAGAUUCCCGAACUGUCAAUCAUCAAAAUAACACCAAAUUAGUAAUUAGUUCUAAUGCAUAACCAUAACUCCAUACUUGGGGUAAAAUACUACUUUACCCUAACUUAUCUUUAUUCAAUCCAAGGCCCAAUCCAAAGGCCCAAAAAUUAAACCAUGGACCAAAGCCCAACAUAUGCCCAAACCUCUAUAUGGGCUUACCUUAAGGCCUAACCAUGUAGUCCAGUCCAACCACUGGGCAUUCUGAUGGCCCAAUAGCUAAUAGUCCUCAAAGCCUCCAAAUUGGUCUCAAGCCUCUCUAAUGGGUCUCUUAUCCUAAGGCCCAAUAAUUUCCUUAAUCCAUAAUAUGUUCCCAAUUGGCCCACAAAGGCCCACAACAACCCAGUCUUAUAUUCAACUGCCUCGGGAACCCCCCGAGGUCUUCCAUGCCAGCAACACAGAGUCAACUAGCACAUCGCAUAUCACAGAAAUAUCUAACAUACCACAUAUCACAUAAUAGCUAGCAUACCACAUAACACAUAUAACUAAUUGCCAUUGGAACCCCCACAUGGUCUUAGUCUACUGCUUCGGGAACCCCCCGAGGUCUUCCACAUAAUCAGCUAGCAUAUCGCAUAUCAUAAAAUGGGUCGGCAUUGGUGCCUUAGACCCAUUGGUAUGGUGAGGAGACUCACCUCGCACUGCUGAAGUCCCGCAGACAAAACUCUAGCUGCUGGAUGAUAAAUUCUCGAACUGUCAAUAAUCAAAAUCACACCCAAUCAGUAAUUGGGUUCCAAUGCAUAACCACAACUCCAUACUUGGGGUAAAAUACUACUUUACCCUAACUUAGCUUUAUUCAUUCCAAGGCCCAAUCCAAAGGCCCAAAAGUUAAACCAUGGACCAAAGCCCAACAUAUGGCCAAAUUUUCCAAAUUUUAAGGUCCAACCAUGUAGUCCAGUCCAACCACUGGGCAUUCUGAUGACCCAAUAGCUAAUAGUCCUCAAGGCCCAAUUAUGGCCCACUUGUGGCCCAAUUUUCCAAAUUGGUCUCAAGCCUCUCUAAUGGGUCUUAUCCUAAGGCCCAAUAAUUUCCUUAGUCCACAAUAUGUUCCCAAUUGGCCUACAAAGUCCCACAGCAGCUUAUUCCAAUAAAUGGCCAAAUAAGAACCCAAACCCAAUUAGGGUUUUACACAUAAAAUGACGAUUAGGUUUAAGUGUUCCUACUUAACCCAUUAAGGACUUAAUCCAUUAAGUCCAAACAUAUAAUGAAAUCGGGCUUGAGUCACAACUUCACUCCAAUGGUCCAAAAUGCGGGUCCCGAUAAGUCCAAACCAAAUAAUUCCAAUAUUAGGGUUUUCUAAACCCUAAUUAGGGUUUCCAACCCAAUCAUAGCCCAAUAGGCCCAAAACUAAGUCCUUAGAUCAAUUAGGAUUUUAUUAGGCCCAUUAUGGUUUCAUUAGUUAGGCAACACCCACUACCACCUCGGGUAGUGGUGGUCAACGGCGGCUCACGGCGGCGGCUACCACCUCACGGUGGUGGUUACGAGUUUCUUUUAUUAUUCUAGCAUCAGUUACAAUAUUACAAAGCAAAAACCCAAUUAACUCACACAUACACUAACACAAACACACACACGCACACGCCACGUGUAUCGUCGGCGGUCCUCAACUUCGAGUCCAUGAUGCAGCAGCGGAGGCGAUGGCUGCCGGGCUUGAUGAUGCAAACGGCGGCUGAGGAGGGCUCAUAUGGUGGCGGCAGCGACCGGAGGUGAAGAAGGAGGUGGCGGCUAAUGGUGUUCCAAUUAGGGUUAGGGUUUGUAUGGGUUAUAUACCCAGCCAUAGGAAACUUUACCCUAUAAUGAUAGAUAUGUCCCCUCCCCCAUAAGAAUCUUUCCAAAUGAGUCCUUAAUUUACCGUUUUAGCCCUCAACAUUAAAAUCCAUUACAAUUUAGGUACAAUAUUUACCAAUUACACCCCUGAUUCCAUAAUUCCUCUCAAAUUCGAUCCCUAAUUUACCAAACAACCCAUGUCUUCUAAAAAUCUUUACAAAAUAAAUCCAAAAAUUUCACUGUAACCCCCGAAUAAUCCAAUUUGUAACAUUUGGCUCCCCAAAACCAACACCCCACUAAAUAAUAUGGAUUUAGGGCGACGAUUCGUUCAUCAAUUUUUAUCUAUCUAUUUAUUUAAUAAACAGGAUGUUACAUAAAAUUUAUGCUUUUUCUAAUUUAGAACAAUAAAUUUCCAUGUAAGGAGAUAGACAAUCAAUAGACAAUCAGAAAUAUGUAAUAUGCAACAAACGGAAUGGAAGUCAAAUGUAUAAAAAGCUCUCCAUUGGCUUCAAACUACGCUAUUAACCAUACCAUGUAGUAUGAUAAAUACUUCUGUGAUAUGAUAUGCUAAGUUGAUUAUAUAUGUUAUUGCAUGGAAGACCCUGGGGAGAGCCCGUGACAGUUAGAUAUAAGACCAUGAGGGGGAGCCCAUGGCAUUCCUAGGUAAAGACCAUGGGGGGAGCCUAUGACAUGAAGGUAUAAGACCCUGGGGGAGCCCACGACAUCCUUAUAUGUUAGUAUGCAUGGCUUAUGUGGUAUAUGUAGCUUUUAUAGCUAAUAUGAUAUGUGUUAUGUGGAUUGUGUGUGGGGUAUGCUCUGGGGGACUCACUAAGCAUUAGCUUACAGUUUGUGGAUUUGUUUCAGGUACAUCGGAGCCCAAGGGCAAGGGAAAGGCUUGAUGGCGCGGCGUGCACUCUCUCAGGCAUUUUAUGGGACACUCUGAUGUUUUGAAAUAAAAGUUGUAAUUGAUAUGAGUUUUGAAAACAAUUAUAUUUGGAUUUCGUGUUUUAUGGAGAUGUGUUUGGUUAAUCAAAAAUGAAAAAUUUCUUUGAAAAAUUGCGUCGUUACAAGUUGGUAUCAGAGCCUUGGUUUGAGGGAUUCGGGCACACUCUCGGGUGUGUCAGGACUCAAACUAAGGAAGUGGUAAAAUUGUUUUCAAAAAAAUAAAAUAAAAGUUAAAGCUUUUAAAGAAUGGAAAAGAUGAGAGUGCAACACGCGUGAUCAGCCGAGCCAAGUAAGUAGUUCCCCAAUAUGUUAGCCAUGUUAUACUGAUAUUUGAGCUUUGCUAAUCGUAUGAAACUUGCUAUGUGUAUGCUUUUAAAAUUAUAUACUGAUAGGAGCUUAUAGCCUUAGAAUGAUUGAUUUGGCCUUAUUUCCUGUUCCUUGUCUGGUUGUGGUCCUAGGGUAGAAUCUUUUAUUUGAAAGUCUAUUUGAUCAUUUUCUGUGUAUAAUUUGCAUGCAUAAAGGCAAUUGGAUAUGAUUGGUAUGGGUAGAGAAAAUCUUAAGACAACCUAGGAUUUGAGCUAUGUGGUAGUCUGUGGGAUAUGAUUUAUUUUGGGUCGAAUUGAAGUUAUCAGGUAGAGCAUUGGGAAAGGUACAGGUAGGUGUGGAAGGUAGCAUUGAGCCCGUACUGCUGAAAGCACAUGACCUGUACCCGAACCAAUGUUAAAUUUGACAACUCCAUGGAGGACCGGUGUGGGAAUAUCCCAAAUAUGGAUAUCCUAAUCGUUAUGAUUUAUGACAUUUCAGUUCAGCAUGGUGGUGACACGAUCUGGAGCAGGGGGAUCAGGAUCGGGAUCUAGAUCUGGGGCUGGAUCAGGCGACACUACCGAGGUAAUUGACGAGAGGUUGUGUGAGCUUAUUGCAGCCGAGGUUACGAGGGGCAUCCUUGAUGCUACUCCAGUUAUCUUUGGGACGGUCAAGGAGGGUAUGAUGGAGAUUAUGGAGGAAAGGCUCAGGUCAUUCAGAGUCGAGAUUGAUGCAGGCCAGGUUAGGGCCCGAACUCCCUCGUUCCGGGAGUUCAAUGCAUGUGGGGAGCCAGAGUUCUUCGGGGUCAGGGACCCCAUUGUUAGCCGACGUUGGGUGGUGGAUAUCGAGAACGCCCAACGCACGAGUUCUUCCCCGGAUGCGAUAAAGGUGGGUUUUGCUUCGUGCAUGCUGAGAGAGAGAGAGAGAGAGCCCAAGACUGGUGGGGCGAGGUGACUAGUCAGGUGGGAGCAGCCGAUGUGGCUGAGAUGACAUGGGCCGAGUUUGUCCGAUGAUUUGACUUAGAUUUUGCACCAGCUGUUGAGGUGCAACAGAUGGUGAGGGAGUUCCAGGAGCUCCAGCAGACCACCAAGACUGUGGCGGAGAUCACCGCCAAGUUUCGGGAGCGAGCAUUGUUGAUCCCACAGUAUGCUAUCAAUGAGGACAUGCGGAUGACGAGAUAUCAUUCCAUGCUGAGGGAUGAUAUCCGGGAGUUUGUGAGCUUUACAGGGUGCAAAACCCUGAAUGAGAUGGUAGAUAAGGCCCGGGAACAGGAGAUGGAGUUGGACUUCCGCACCAAGCGGAAUUCGGAGCAGGCACAGGCAGCGAUGGGUCAGGCUAAGAAGCCGAAGACAUCAGACACUUCCAGCAGGGGCUAGCAGGGUCGGGGCCGGUGUGCCAGGUGCGGUAAAUCGCAUAAUGGGGCUUAUCGGAAAGCAGGCUUUGGAUGUUACUCUUGUGGCCAGCAGGGUCAUUUGAGCAUGGAUUGCCCCAAUAAGAGUUUGAUAUGUUUCUACCGCAACCAGAAUGGCCAUAAAAAGGCCGAUUGUCCAAGGUUGCAGGGAGGGGGUGGAGCAGUGGCGGCGCCCGCGCCCGCCACGAUGAGGAUUAUUGAUAGCCGCCCUGCUAAGGCGGAUGCUCCAGUGGUGAAGAGCCGUGUAUUUCAGUUGAGUACCGAGGAGGCUCGGGUAGCGCCAGACUUUGUGGUUGGUACGUGUUUAUUCUACUCCGCUCUAUGUUUAUUUGUAGUGCUUAUGUAUACAUUGUACUUGUAUAGGGACCUUUUUGGUCAAUGGUAUGUCGACGCAUGUUUUGUUUGACUCGGAUGCUACCCGGUCGUUUGUGUCUCUUGCGCUUAGCAAGAAGUUCUGGGACGCGCCAUGAACUUUGGAUUCCCCGCUCGAGGUAGAGAUUGCAGAUGACCGCACUAUGAGUGUUGCGAGGGUGUAUCAGGAUUGUGUCCUGAAUGUGCUUGGCAAGAGGUUUCGCGUUUAUCUAGUCCCGAUACCAUUGCGAGGGUUGAAGGUGAUUGUCGGGAUGGACUGGUUGGGGCCAAUGGGGCCAUGAUUGAUUGCGAGCGCCAGUUGGUGAAGGUUCGAACCCAAGUGGGGGAGAACUGGUUAUACAUGGUGAGGGGGCCUCGCAGGGGCCAACUCUCUGUUCGGCUGCGAGGGCUAGGAGAUUUCUACAGAAGGGAUGUACGGGAUUUCUGGCUUAUAUCUCAGAUACGAGGGUUGAGACCACGACGGAUGUGGGCAGUGUGUCGGUUGUACAGGAAUUUCGGGAUGUCUUUCUCGAAGAAUUACCUGGAGUGCCUCCGAAGAGGCAGGUGCAGUUUUGCAUUGAUUUGGUGUCGGGUGCCGCACCGAUAGCGAAGGCACCAUACCGGUUAGCGCCGCCCGAGAUGCAGGAGUUAUCUAUGCAACUUCAGGAGCUGCUAAACUGAGGGUUCAUCCACCCGAGCAGUUCCUCGUGGGGAGCACCGAUCCUGUUUGUAAAAAAGAAGGAUGGAUCACACAGGAUGUGCAUCGAUUACCGAGAGCUGAACAAACUAAUGGUGAGGAACUGCUAUCCGUUGCCGAGGAUCGAUGAUUUGUUCGAUCAGUUGCAGGGUGCAUAUUGGUUUUCCAAGAUUGACCUUCAGUCGGGGUACCAUCAGAUGGGGAUUCAGGAUGAGGACAUACCGGAGACAACUUUCAGGACUUGGUAUGGGCAUUACGAGUUUGUAAUGAUGUCGUUUGGGCUCACCAAUUCCCCAGCAACGUUCAUGAAUCUCAUGAACAGGGUGUGUAGACCGAUGCUGGAUCGGUCGGUGAUCAAUUUUGUUGAUGAUAUACUGGUCUAUUCUAAGACCAAGGAGCAGCAUGAGCAGCAUCUGAGAGAGGUAUUAGAGACCCUGAGGGCGGAGAGGUUUUAUGCCAAGUUCUCCAAGUGUGAUUUUUGGCUGCGAGAGGUACAGUUUUUGGGGCACAUCAUCAACCAGGAGGGCAUUUCGGUUGAUCCAUCCAAGGUUGAGACAGUGAUGCGGUGGGAAGUACCGAAGAAUGCAUAUGAGGUCCGUAGCUUCUUGGGUUUAGCGGGCUAUUAUCGGAGAUUUAUCCAGGAUUUCUCCAAGAUUGUUGUGCCCUUGACCCGCUUGACCACGAAGAAUGUGACAUUUCGUUGGGGCACGUAUCAGCAACUUUUGAGACCCUGAGACGGAGGUUAUGCGAGGCUCCGAUCCUAGUACUACCCGAGGGGUUAGACGACUUGGUGGUGUAUUGUGACACAUCGAUUUCAGGGUUAGGCGCGGUACUGAUGCAGAGGGGGCACGUGAUAGCUUACCCCUUGAGGCAGUUGAAGCCUCAUGAGGCAAAUUACCCCACUCACGACCUAGAAUUGGGGGCAGUGGUGUUCGCCCUUAAGAUUUGGAGGCACUACUUGUAAGGAGUGCGGUGCACCAUCUAUACUGAUCACAAGAGUUUGAAGUAUUUGAUGGAUCAACAUAACCUCAACAUGCGACAGAGGAGCUGGUUGGACGUGCUGAAGGAUUAUGAUUGUGAGAUCCUAUACCAUCCAGGGAAGGCGAACGUAGUGGCCGAUGCUUUGAGCCGCAAGACGGCAAGGUCCUCUAUUGGGAACAUUUGUAUGAGGAUGACGGUGAUCUCUCCAUUGUUGGAUAUGAUCAAGGAGGCCCAGGUCGAGGGAGUGAAGAAAGAGAAUUGGAAGAUAGAGCGGAUUUGGGGACAAUAUCCUUUGUUUGUUAAGGAUAACCGUGGCCUAUUGACACAAUGUGGCCGAGUGUGGGUACCAGUGACUAGAGGAGUGAGAUAGAGGAUAUUAGAGGAGGCACACAAGUCCAAGUUUUCUAUACAUCUAGGGGCUACAUAAAUGUAUAGAGACUUGAGACUGAGUUAUUGGUGGCCCUGCAUGAAGCGGGAGAUCGCCUGGUUUGUGGAGCGGUGCUUGACCUGCAGGAAGGUCGAGGCUGAGCAUCAGUGGCCUCAUGACAAGGUACAAUCGCUGCCCAUUCCCAUGUGGAAAUGGGAAGAUAUAACUAUGGACUUCAUCACGAAGUUACCGAGGAUGGCGAAAGGUGUGGACGCCAUAUGGGUGAUCGUGGACAGAUUGACGAAGAGUGCCCACUUCAUUCCAAUUUCUGAGAGUAUAUCCGCUGAGAAGUUGGCGGAUAUUUAUGUGCAAGAAGUGGUGGCUAGGCAUGGGGUGCCAGUGUCGAUAGUCUUUGACAGGGAUGUUCGGUUUACAUCUAGGUUCUAGAAUAAGUUCUAUGAGGAACUGGGCACUUAACUGCAUUUUAGCAUGGCGUACCACCCCAGACAGAUGGCCAAAGUGAGAGGACGAUUCAGACACUUGAGGAUAUGUUACGAGCUUGUGUGUUGGAUUUUGGAGGGAGUUGGGAUACGUAUCUCCCAUUGGCAUAGUUUUCGUACAAUAACAAUUACCAUGCUAGUAUCGACCGAGCUCCAUUCGAGAUGUUGUAUGGUAGGAGAUGCAGGACCCCGGUUUGUUGAAGCGAGGUUGGAUACCGGGUCAUGGGAAGCACUGAGGUAGUGCUCUAGACUACCAGACUGACGAGUCUGCAGUCGUUUCGUUGGACGACAUUCAAGUGGAUGAGAUCCUGAACUACAUCGAGAGGCUGGUUUCCAUCUUAGAUAGGAAGACUAAGGUUCUUCGGAAUAAGGAAGUGAAGUUGGUGAAGGUGCAAUGGCAGCACCGCAGGGCUCCGAGUGGACUUGGGAGCCAGAGGACGAGAUGCGAGAUCACUACCCGGAUUUGUUUGGAUCAGCAGACUUCGAGGACGAAGUCUAGUUCAAGUGGGGGAGAUUUGUAACACCUGUUCUAGGUAUUACUUGAAUUAUUUAAUUUUAGGGUUUUGGUGCUUGGACUCGGUGAGUUGGUAGCCCAACUCGACGAGUAGAGGACAUUUCGAGGACGCGGGUUCUAGGCCCUACUCGUUGAGUUGAAAGGCCAACUGGCGAGUAGGCACUGUAAAGAUAAAACCCUAAUUUUAGGGUUUGCACCCUAUAUAAUCUUCUUAAGAGCUUUGAGGCUGGCCUUCCAUCAGCCUCCAAACCCUAAGAAUGUCUGUGGUAAACCCUAAUCCCCAUCCUCUUUCAUUUUGUGAGAUAGAGUGCCUUUUGAAGCUUAAGAAGAAGGAGAUAGUGAGAAGAAGGAGAAGAUCCAACAAACCAAGCCCUCACUCUUGAGCUUGACCAUCUUGUGGACAGCUGUAAGUCUUCAAGAUUCGAUUUUUAUCUUAGAAUAUUGCUAGAUCUUGAGUUUACUCUUCAUUUCCUAUCCUUCUUGUUGAUUGCAUGCAUGGGGCUCAUAAAGUUUGCUACUUUAUGGAUCUCUAGGGAAAAAUAGUCCCAAGGUGGGCUAGAUCUAGCCUUUGGUCAAGCAAGGACGCCAUGCAAGGGUAUUUAGGGCAUAUUUCCCUCUUUUUGGCCAUUUUGACCUAAGGACAUGCAUGUCCAUAAAGCCACCAUCUUUGGAACGUUUUGAGGACUAGAAACUCUCCUGGAAAGGAGGGACUCCAGAUCCCUAGAGUUUUGGACCAUAUGGCAAAGCUUUGGAGCUUUACAACCUUUGAUAAGGGACUUAGAGCAAUUAGAACUAGGGAUGAGCAACGGGCAAAACCCGGACCAGACCGGCCCGAAGACCGAAAACCCGAAGACCGAAAAUCGUGAAUUUUCUUACCCGAAAACCGGACCGUUUUUGGAUGUACGGGUUCGGGUUUGGUCCGGUCCGGUCUCGGGUACUAAACUGGGUUUCGGGUUUUGGACCGAACUAGGCUUUGAAAAUGGUACAAUGCGGGACUUUACUUAGAUCACGUGCAAAUGAGGUGUCUACAAAAAAAUACAAACCUUAUUAACAUUUGGAACAAAUAAAAAUUACACUAUUUAGCACGAAAACUACACUUUUUAUAAAAAAAUGCAUGUUUUAACAAAAAAGAAACAACAUUGUUAAUAAAAAAAACUGCAUUUUAACAGCUUUUUUGUGUAAAAAAACAACAAAAAACAACAUUAUUUAUAAAAAACUGCAUGUUUUUAUAAAAAAUUUGUAUGUUUUUAUAAAAAAAAAAUUUGCAUGUUUGAACAAAAAAUAGCAUGCUAGAUACAUUUUUUCUUGUAAA